GACGAACGCUGGCGGCGUGCUUAACACAUGCAAGUCGAACGGUAAGGCCCCUUCGGGGGUACACGAGUGGCGAACGGGUGAGUAACACGUGGGUGAUCUGCCCUGCACUUCGGGAUAAGCCUGGGAAACUGGGUCUAAUACCGGAUAGGACCACGCUCUGCAUGGAGGGUGGUGGAAAGCUUUUGCGGUGUGGGAUGGGCCCGCGGCCUAUCAGCUUGUUGGUGGGGUGAUGGCCUACCAAGGCGACGACGGGUAGCCGGCCUGAGAGGGUGUCCGGCCACACUGGGACUGAGAUACGGCCCAGACUCCUACGGGAGGCAGCAGUGGGGAAUAUUGCACAAUGGGCGCAAGCCUGAUGCAGCGACGCCGCGUGGGGGAUGACGGCCUUCGGGUUGUAAACCUCUUUCAGUACCGACGAAGCGCAAGUGACGGUAGGUACAGAAGAAGCACCGGCCAACUACGUG
rnacentral:rRNA from 1 species